AUUGAACGCUGGCGGCAGGCCUAACACAUGCAAGUCGAGCGGCUGAAGGGAGCGUGCUCCCGGAUCCAGCGGCCGACGGGCGGGUGAGGCAUAGGAAUAUGCCUGGCUGCGGGGGCGAGCGUCCGGACGCGGGCGCUAAUACGCCAUACGUCCAGAGGGCGAACGGGGGGGAUCAUCGGACCUCACGCCCUCAGAUGAGCCUAGGUCGGAUUAGCUAGUUGGUGGGGUAAAGGCCUACCAAGGCGACGAUCCGUAGCUGGUCUGAGAGGAUGAUCAGUCACACUGGAACUGAGACACGGUCCAGACUCCUACGGGAGGCAGCAGUGGGGAAUAUUGGACAAUGGGCGAAAGCCUGAUCCAGCCAUGCCGCGUGUGUGAAGAAGGUCUUCGGAUUGUAAAGCCCUUUUGGUUGGGAGGAAGGGCAGUAAGUUAAUACCUUGCUGUUUUGACGUUACCAACAGAAUAAGCACCGGCUAACUUCGUG
rnacentral:rRNA from 1 species